rnacentral:rRNA from 1 species
GUGAAUUGCAGAACUCCGUGAACCAAUGGAAACUUGAACGUGCAUUACACUCUCGGGAUAUCCCUGGGAGUAUGCCUGCUUCAGU